rnacentral:rRNA from 1 species
GAUGAACGCUGGCGGCGUGCCUAAUACAUGCAAGUCGAGCGAACAGACGAGGAGCUUGCUCCUCUGACGUUAGCGGCGGACGGGUGAGUAACACGUGGAUAACCUACCUAUAAGACUGGGAUAACUUCGGGACACCGGAGCUAAUACCGGAUAAUAUAUUGAACCGCAUGGUUCAAUAGUGAAAGACGGUUUUGCUGUCACUUAUAGAUGGAUCCGCGCCGCAUUAGCUAGUUGGUAAGGUAACGGCUUACCAAGGCAACGAUGCGUAGCCGACCUGAGAGGGUGAUCGGCCACACUGGAACUGAGACACGGUCCAGACUCCUACGGGAGGCAGCAGUAGGGAAUCUUCCGCAAUGGGCGAAAGCCUGACGGAGCAACGCCGCGUGAGUGAUGAAGGUCUUCGGAUCGUAAAACUCUGUUAUUAGGGAAGAACAAAUGUGUAAGUAACUAUGCACGCCUUGACGGUACCUAAUCAGAAAGCCACGGCUAACUACGUG